AUUGAACGCUGGCGGCAUGCCUUACACAUGCAAGUCGAACGGCAGCACGGGAGCAAUCCUGGUGGCGAGUGGCGAACGGGUGAGUAAUGUAUCGGAACGUGCCUUGUCGUGGGGGAUAACGUAGCGAAAGCUACGCUAAUACCGCAUACCAUCUAAGGAUGAAAGCGGGGGAUCGCAAGACCUCGCGCGACAAGAGUGGCCGAUAUCAGAUUAGGUUGUUGGUGGGGUAAAGGCCUACCAAGCCGACGAUCUGUAGCUGGUCUGAGAGGACGACCAGCCACACUGGGACUGAGACACGGCCCAGACUCAUACGGGAGGCAGCAGUGGGGAAUUUUGGACAAUGGGCGAAAGCCUGAUCCAGCAAUGCCGCGUGCAGGAUGAAGGCCUU
rnacentral:rRNA from 1 species